UCCACCCAGAAAAACUGUUUCUGUUUUUUAGAGUAAAACUUGACUGAAUUUAUAAUAGGAGAUGUUCUGCAUCAGUUGUCCAGUUAAAGAUGAACGAAAGGACUGCGUUGUUUGCCAAGACCUGAGUUUAAGGAGCCUGUGUCUCCUAUGCAAUUGUUGAUGGUCAUUUUAGCAACCAAGUGGAGUGGGAAGCUGUGUGAUUCCAGAGCCUUUGGUGUGGAAUGCUGGUACAUCUGUGCAUCUCCUAAAGAGACUGAAAAGAAAAAAAAUCCUGUCACAUUGUGAAACAAUAUGCAUGCAACUUAGUGAUCUGCAGUACAUCCAAGAAGUUCAGAAUAGUCCAGGAAUCUCCUCACUGACCUAGUUGAGUUUAGUUCAGUAGGGAAAACAUAUGUAUUUCUGCUUAUCAUGUAAGCUUUGUUGAACAAAUGGCAUUAUAAGUUUAAUGCUAAAAAUUAAUAUGGAAUCAGAGCUCUUCCUACAAGGAGAAGAUCUCUGAGUUCUUCAUUAAAGCUAUGAUCCUGAUCAUGUUCUAACAGGCACGAAAGUAAUUUUUUCCUGUCUGUGCUUACCUGGAACUGGUUGUCAAAUCAGAAUUGGAACCUUAUUAUGGAGUAUAUGAUGCAACAUAUCACAAUAGCUAUGGAUUAGCAUCAAAUCUGAGUUGAACGCACCUAGAAGAACAAUGUGUCUUGACCUGCCAUCAGAAAGGAUGUCCAGCCCUUUCAUAACUCAGACACAUUUAAAUGAGAGCAAUAUCUCAGUGCAGUGUCAGAAGUUCUUGAUGUACUUGUACUUUUCCUUAUUUUUUUCUUGUUUCUAGUUCUGUGCUUGUUUCUAGUCGUUUUGCAUGAAGCAGUCGUCUAAUCUGUGGGAAUAGCGGAGAUGAAAUAUAUUCAUCUGAUGCUGACUUUGAGGUUUAUGUGGGAACCAGGAUUACACCAGUCCUCCAAAAUCGUAUUUCUGAAGACACAAGCCUGAAGAAAUAUGAUUGAGUCUUUCAUUUUUGGCUCUAACUCAAUUAAAAUGGAAAAGUCUGCAAA